rnacentral:lncRNA from 1 species
AAGGUCAAUAUGCCUUGUAUACUGUUGUUUAGGUUAGUUAUCAUUGUUUUAGUUUACUGCGGAGCCCCUAGUUCCACUCAUUAUACCUCUGAUACCUCCUUUGUCCCACCUCUCACACAUGCGGUGACCUCACCCAUUAUAAAUCAAAUCAAAUCAAAUUUUAUUUAUAUAACGAUUUAUAUAAUUUAUUUUAUAACGAGCUUAUCCAGAGAUACAACCUCUAUUAUCAUCACUCAGUGCCUGGGCUUACCUUUGCUGUAUCGAAAAAGCAUUGGUUUCAUGCAUGUCAACAUCAGAAGCCUCCUCCCUAAGUUUGUUUUACUCACUGCUUUAGCACACUCCGCCAACCCUGAUGUCCUUGCUGUGUCUGAAUCCUGGCUUACGAAGGCCACCAACAAUUCUGAGAUUUCCAUACCCAGAUACAACAUUUUCAGUCAAGAUAGAAUUGCCAAAGGGGGAGGAGUUGCAAUCUACUGCAGAGAUAGCCUGCAAAGUUCUGUCUUACUUUCCAGGUCUAUACCCAAACAGUUUGAACUUCUAAUUUUAAAAAUUAACCUCUUCAGAAAUAAGUCUCUCACUGUUGUUGCCUGCUAUCGACACCCCUCCGCUCUAAACUGUGCCCUGGACACCAUUUGUGAAUUGAUCGCCCCCCAUCUAGCUUCAGAGUUCGUUCUGUUAGGUGACCUAAACUGGGAUAUGCUUAACACCCCGGCUGUCCUACAAUCUAAGCUAAAUGACCUCAAUCUCACACAAAUCAUCAAGGAACCCACCAGGUACAACCCCAAAUCCGUUAACAAGGGCACCCUCAUUGACAUUAUCCUGACCAACUUGCCCUCCAAAUACACCUCCGCUGUUUUCAAUCAGGAUCUCAGUGAUCACUGCCUCAUUGCCUGUAUCCGCUAUGGGUCCGCGGUGAAACGACCACCCCUCAUCACUGUCAAACACUCCCUAAAACACUUCUGCGAGCAGGCCUUUCUAAUCGACCUGGCCCGGGUAUCCUGGAAGGAUAUUGACCUCAUCCCGUCUAUCGAGGAUGCCUGGUCAUUCUUUAAAAGUAAUUUCCUCACCAUCUUAGAUAAGCAUACCCCAUUCAAAAAAUGCACAACUAAGAACAGAUAUAGCCCUUGGUUCACUUCAGACCUGACUGCCCUUGACCAGCACAAAAACAUCCUGUGGCGGACUGCAAUAGCAUCGAAUAGUCCCCACGAUAUGCAACUGUUCAGGAAAGUCAGGAACCAAUACACGCAGUCAGUCAGAAAGCAAAGGCUAGCUUUUUCAAGCAGAAAUUCGCAUAUUGUAGCUCUAACUCCAAAAGGUUUUGGGACACUGUAAAGUUCAUGGAGAACAAGAGCACCUCCUCCCAGCUGCCCACUGCACUGAGGCUAGGUAACACGGUCACCAC